ACCUGACCCCAUGCCGAACUCAGAAGUGAAACGCCGUAGCGCCGAUGGUAGUGUGGGGUCUCCCCAUGCGAGAGUAGGGAACUGCUAGGCA
rnacentral:rRNA from 1 species